GAUGAACGCUGGCGGCGUGCUUAACACAUGCAAGUCGAACGAUGAAGCCCAGCUUGCUGGGUGGUUUAGUGGCGAACGGGUGAGUAACACGCGAGUAACCUGCCCUUCACUCUGGGAUAAGUCUGGUAGACUGGGCCUAAUACUGGCUAUGUCUUCUCUUCGCCCGGUGGGGGGUGGAGAGAUUUAUUGGUUUUGGAUGGCCUCGCGGCCUAUCCGCUUGUUGGUGAGGUAUUGGCUCACCAAGGCGACGCCGGGUAGCCGGCCUGAGAGGGGGACCGGCCACACUGGGACUGAGAGACGGCGCAGACUCCUACGGGAGGCAGCAGCGGGGAAUAUUGCGCAAUGGGCGCAAGCCUGAUGCAGCGACGCCGCGUGAGGGAUGACGGCCUUCGGGUUGUAAACCUCUUUCAGUAGGGAAGAAGCGAGAGUGACGGUACCUGCAGAAGAAGCGCCGGCUAACUACGUG
rnacentral:rRNA from 1 species